rnacentral:rRNA from 1 species
UACGUAGGGUGCAAGCGUUGUCCGGAAUUAUUGGGCGUAAAGAGCUCGUAGGCGGUUUGUCGCGUCUGGUGUGAAAAAUCAGGGCUUAACCCUGGACCUGCAUCGGGGUACGGGCAGACUAGAGUGCGGUAGGGGGAGAUCGGAAUUCCUGGUGUAGCGGUGAAAUGCGCAGAUAUCAGGAGGAACACCGGUGGCGAAGGCGGAUCUCUGGGCCGUAACUGACGCUGAGGAGCGAAAGCAUGGGGAGCGAACAGG